AAUACUACAACAUGGGUUUUGGUGAGCCAAUUUAAUCAUAAAUAUCCUCAUUAAUAUCUACACUAAUAAUUAUUUUCUUUCAUCUAUCGUUAUUAAUUAUUAAUAACUACAUAUUUAAUAUCUGUUAUUAAUUACAUCUAACUAUUAUACCCUCAUUAAUAUCUUGCAUAAUACUAAUAAUUAAUCUGUUUUAUCCACUAAUAAUUAUCAUCAUUAAUUUAUUUCAUCAAUCAUUAUACAUUAUUACUAAUAACUAAUAACUACUUCCUCUGACAAAAAAAUUGAGCUGCUUUGACUUUCACAGAGAUUAAAAAAAAGGUAGUAAAAAAGAGUAAGUUUAGUUGAAAAAGUGGGUGAAGUGGUGGGACCUAUCAAAUUUUAAUAAUAAAUUUGAAAUGGAGUAGGAAAGUAGUGGGUAUAAUAGUUUUUAUUUAAUAAAAAGAAAGUAUAAAAUAGAGAAGUAGUGGGUGUAAUAGUGAAAAGUAGGGUUCCAAAAUAAUAAUUAUACUAAGUUCAUUUUUUUUGGGACGUUCCAAAAGGAACAAGGGUCAAUUAAAAUGGGACGGGGAGAGUAUAUAUUUAAUAUUUGUUAUUAAUAAUAUCUAAAUAUUACACCCUCGUUAAUAUCUAGCAAAUACUAAUAAUUAAUUCAUUUAUCAUUAGAUCGUUUCAUCAAUUAUUGUACAUUGAUAAUUACUAAUAACUGCAUGAAUAAUAUUUACUAUUAAUAAGAUCUAAUUCAUUAUUAUAAAAUAAUACUUUUGAAUGAAUAUGUUUUUAAAAUAUUUGUAAAAUACUCAUAUCAAUAUAAUCUAUCAUAUAAUGACUAACUAUCAGUGUUGUAAAGAGCGCAUUAAGGCCGUCUAAGCGGAAUCGGCCCUAAAACGCUUCGAUUUUGUAUUAAGCGGGGGGUUAGACGUAUUUGAAAUUUAAGCGGACUAUUAAGCGGAUUAGACAGUCGUUGAGAGGAUUAAGCGGUAAUUAAGCGGUGAUGUUGACUUGCUAAUUUCUUUAAUUUGUAAAUAAUAUUUUUUUAAUAACAUAACUUUAAUUAUAUUAAAAAAAUUGAAAAUUUAUAUUUUAUUAAAAAUGUAAAUUCUUUUCACAAUAUAAUAUUAUUUUUAAAUAUACUAAUAUUAUAACUAAAUUUAAUUACAUUUUAUUAAUCCGCUUAUGGAGCCACUUAAAUUUCUGUUUUACAGCUUAAGCGGUAGAAGGUCCUUCCACCGCUUAGAACCGCUUUGCGCUUUUCGCAACAUUGUUAAUUAUUUCAUGAUUUUAUUUACCAUAGAUUUAUUUCAUCAAUCAUUAUACAUUAUUAAUUAUGAAUAACCACAUAUUUAAUAUAUAAAUCUUCUUUGUGAGGUCCCUACAAAAAAAAAAAAAUCUUCUUUGUGAGGAAUUCAACAAACUAAUGCACUCGAACCAAAGACUGAACCAAUAUAUGGUAGUUAAAGGCAACUCGAGUUAUAUGUUAUGAUCAGUAAAGAAUUGAUCUAAUGUAGUUAUGGUAUUUAUUAAUAAAUUAAGCAAGUUAUCUUGUCAAAAUACUAUGCACACAUAAUACUACAAUAAUGCGUAAUUGUUCCAUGAAUGUCUAUAUGCAUGAAUGCUAAGGGUUCUAUGCAUGAAUGUCAAGGGUUCUGAUUAUGCUGAUUUGAUUUAGUAUGGCUGGAGUUUAGUUGUCGAUAAGGUUAUUUCGCAAUAUAGUAUAUAACAUCAUUAGUUUUCCGCUAAUUUUUCUUCGAAGGCAUCAUGUCAAACAACUGAUUUGUGAUGAUCUUUUUUCUAAACCACUUUGAUAGAUUUUUUUUUUUUACUGUUUUUCAUUGUAUUUUCUAAAACAUAUGAAAAAUCCGAAACAAUCCAAAUAUAGACAUGUUUAGAGCAUGCCCGUGCCUCGCACGGGCUAUAAAGCUAGUU
rnacentral:lncRNA from 1 species